CCAAAUUUCAUUGACCCCGUUUAAUUCAAAAUACUUGCUACAACAAUGGGAUUAUAUCGUAACAAAAAAAAAAAAGGAAAAAAAAGGGGAUUAUGUAUGUUGUGUAUUAUUAGAUACAUUAUUAUUAAUGACCCUUGUGGAGAGCUAUUUGAGCCGGAAAGAUACAUCCAGUAUUUAGAGUUAAAUGGUUACAGGAGAACAAUUGUUCUAAAUACAACACACGCAACUACUAAGAACCGGGAAAUAGACAUAGCAGCAAGAUUAUUUCAUUUGUAGAUAAGCUCAGAACUUCUUGAUGAAUUCAUAAAUGUGAUUACUUAUUUCCUCUGCUGCUUCUUGAUUGUUGAAGUGCGCCACUCCUUUUUGGAUAAUCACUUCUUCCAGAUUGGGAACAUCUUCCUUGAAUCCCCCACCAUGGAUAUACUCCUUCAUGUUUAGUGAGGUGUACACCAUAUCCAAAUCACCUGUAAUGAAUUUCACAGGCACCUUGAUUUUCACUCCAUUCCAUGGCGCCAUCAGCUCCCAAUUUCUGCCAUACAAGUAAAAAUGCAUCUUUCAUUAGAAUUGGGAUCUCUGUAUAUGAAACACUAACACAUACAUCGAAAACAACAAUAAACACAAACAUUGGACACGACAUUGACAAGUAAAUACCAGUAACAGUUUUAAAAAUGGAAGUGAUUGAAUAUAACAACAUGUGUCGGUGUUGGAUAUCAACACAUAUCCAACACCGAAACACGUCUUCAAACUGAAAUGUUAAUGCCACAUAGAUUAUUGUCAUGUUGUUCAAACAUUAUACCAAAAAGAAUUGUCAACAUAUAUUUGAGGAAAACAACCAGAGGUAGCACAAAGAAUCAAAAAGAUUACAAGUUAAAGUUUCUGUAGUAGUUCAAUGCUCCAGUGAAGCCUGUUUUCUCAAAUUUGGAGACAAAAUAAGUAAGGUCAUCUUCUGUAAGCCAAGAGGGUAAGGUGUCAGGAGUAUCUGAGUUGAAUCCAGUUCCAAACUCUCCCUUGGGAAAUAUUGGAGGACCAGUUUUCCGAGUUGUGAGGGUACUUUUCAUCACAUAUGCAGUGCCAACUUCAGCCAUCUCAGCUUCCAUUUUGCCUGGUUCCUGUGAUACGGACCAAACGCAAUUAUGUUAUUCAGAUCUAUCAUUACAGCAACUUUCCACUUCAUUUUAGACAAACAAAGAACUUUGUUUCAAAACAUUAUAUUGGAGCUUCACGAGACGAUUCAUUAACUUCUACAUUCAUGACCAUUAUGAUGUCAUACAAUUCUAAAGUUGAUGCAGAUCCAAAAUAAGAGAACUUCACCCUAACGUAUUCAAUAAUCAAUAUUACUCUCUGACAAAAUGCACAACAUGUCAUUCUAUAUUAAGUUGAGUCAUGCUUGCUUUUAGAAUUAACUGAUCAACCAUAAGGUUUCCUCUUUUGAUUUAGACUCUACUUAAAUAAACAUGUUAAUCAAGUAUUAAAUCCACUUGGGUUGGUUUGGUGGUGUUGUCUUGGAACCGGCAUGUGUUCCUUUCAAGGUGAGAGUUCGAUUUUCGCAUGCCAAUUUCGGUCUGCUAGUUUGACAUCUUCAAAAAAAUCUUGAUCAAGUGCUUAUAGUAGAAGAUAAACUAAAGUUAAACUGUUCUUGUAUAAGUUUUAAGUUAUUUUCACAUACUAUUCGAAGAGCUUAUGAAAAUAAGCAUCUCAAAACAACCUCCUAAAUUCUAUUAAACAAUCUCACAAACCAUAAAUCCUCUCAAAUAAAUCUAUCCAAACAGGCGUUUAGUAAUCCACUAAUCCUACAUCAGUAUCAUGUCAAUAACCCACAUAAAAAACCACUCAAACUAAACUGAUAAGUGUAAUCCCCGAAUUAAGUUAUUAAGUAUUACUCUCUCCUACAUCUAUAUAUAUAAAAUAAAAAAUAAAAAAUAAAAAAUAAAAAGUGAUCUCUAAUAUUUUAUAAUUAGUAAAUCUUGACAUUUGCCAAACUCGUUAGGGAUUGCUUAAAGUAAAUUAGGGGGGCUACAGAGGCAAGGGUAGAAAAGUGGUAAUAAAGAAAUAGAAGAACCUGAAAUCUACAUAUGUAAUAAUCAUCUCCAUAAGCAGCAUGCAUGGCAUCAACGGUCCUGAUUUUGGGGUUUCUACGGAGUAGUGGAACACUGAGACAGACAUAAGCUUUGAUUCUUUCAGGGCGAAACAUACAAAGAUACCAACCAAUGAUAGCACCCCAAUCAUGAGCAACAAGAAACACUUGAUCAACACCCAGAAAAUCUAUAAGUGCAACAAGAUCACCUACUAUGUGAAAACCUGUGUAGCUACUAACUGAAGACGGAGCAUCGGUGUCACCAUAGCCACGGAGAUCGGGAGCAACAGCACGGUAGCCGAGGGAGCUGAGAGCUACAAUCUGGUGGCGCCAUGAAUACCAGAGUUCUGGGAAGCCAUGAAGGAACAAGACAACAGGUCCUUCUUUACCUUUCUCAGCAAUAUGCAUUUUGAUUCCAUUCACUUCCACUCUUCUGUGUUCUAUUCCUUCCAUCUGUGUUCUUUUUUUUGGGCUCAGAGCAACUGUGAAGAAAUUUCAAUAUUUUGAUGCUGUUGAUACUUGAUGAUACUUUAUAAUGGACAAAUGAGCCGACAUAAAUAGGUGGCUUAAUAAUAAUACAAUUAAAAUAUGUUGUUAGUGAUAAUUUUAUUUUUUUUUACACAUGUUAGUGAUAAUUAUUAAACACCACUAUAUUCCCACUUAGAAAUAUUUAUUUUUGUUGGCACCGAUUUUCAUUUGUUUCCGCUUGUUUGUCAAUUUCUCCGCCUAACUAACCAAUUUUCGUUUUGGUUACGAAAGUCAAAUCAAAAUUCUCUUGUUUGCUAAUUUAGGCGACGUUUAAAAUGGGAGCUCUCUAUUUUUUCUUUGAUGAAAAGCUUUAAUUCACCAUUGACAUUCAUAUGAUAUGAUCAGUAGAAUGACAUUCAGUGUAAACUUAUUGUUUUUAAGUGUUAGAAACAACAGGGUGAUUUAUCUACAUACACUCUGACAGAUAAGUUAGUAUUUAAGUUAGAAAGGAGGUCAAGAGUUAGAAUAGAUCGUAUUUAGAAGACAAUAUAAAGUAUUCUUAUGGAGGGUGGCGCAAGUUGCCGAUAUCUGACAUUCUUACUCUUUGCUCGUCCGUUACUGUCGAGCCGGAUUGACAAUGAUGGAGGCAGUUACGAUUCCUUGGCUUGAAUUGUUGCCCGAUUGCUGAGAGCACCCCUCAUGGAGGGGUGGGGGGUUUGAAUAUGUGUUGCUCCAUUCGAUUGUUCUUUUUAGAUGUGGUUUGAUAUUUGAUUUAUGUGUUAUGUUUCGUUUUGAUUUUUAAGGUACAAUUGAUUAAUUAUACUCUUUCUUCAUUGAAUUCGUAAAUGUAAUUACUGAUUUCCUCUUCAGCUUCUUGAUUGUUGAAGUGAGCAACUCCUUUUUGAACAAUCACUUCCUCCAAAUUCAGCACAUCUUCCUUGAAUCGUCCUCAAUGGAUAUACUCCUUCAAGUUAAACUAGGGGAGUGUUUGGAUGUCAAAAACUGAGUUUUUUUAUGUUUUAAAUCAAGUGUCAAGUAUGUGAGAACAUGAUUUAUGUUAUGGUAUUAUUCAGAAGCAGAUUGAAACGUAUCUUUCGAUACCUAGCAAUCGAAAGAUAUCUUUUGAUCAUAUCAUAUCAUAACUUCCGGUCGUUAUAUAAAUGACAAUUUUAGAAUUUUUAGGGGCCUAUGAGGAAGUAAGGUGACCCAAAGAGCGAUUUCCUGACAAUGAAAACUUCAUAUCGACACAAGUAAAAUACUAAAAUGUCUCCAGCGGCCGUUAACAACCGCUCAAUGUUACGGCGGCAGUUAACUACCGUUCACACCAGUGCACUCUGCACUAGUGCACUGGUUUUUCUAGGAACUUUGGCCUGUUUUUGCAUCCAAUUGGAAAUUAAAGCAAAUAACCAGGAUAUGUCGGGAAAUUAAAACGUACGUACAAAAUAAUAUUUAAUAGAUAAAAUUAAAAUGCAAGAACUAAUAUGAAAGGUAUGUCGGAAAAUGUCAUACAAAUACCAAAAUGUAAGGAACAUGUCAUAAUUAUACGUCACAGUAAAAAAGUACAUAAAAAAACCCUAAUCAUAAUCAACCCUGCUGCCUAGCAUGCCUCGGCCCCCUGCGCCGCCUGGCAAUCUGAUACGUAAGGGCAGGGCGACUAGUACCGGCUAUCCGCAUCACCUACUGGACAAUCUCCUCUUUAGUCAUCUCGGCUUGCCUAGCCACAAUAUCGCCAACUAUAUGCACCACAUCCCGGAUGAUCGUCAGUGUGUCAGGCAUCUCCCUGGCAUGCUCCUCCUCUAUGAUCUGCUCCACGUUCGCCGGCCUGGGAGGAGAUCCUUCAUCAGGUGGGAGAAUACGAGGGUGAGAGACUUUGGCAUACCAAACCAUGUAGCCAGGCACAUGAUGCCAUGGUCUCUCACACGCAUCUCCCCAAGCAGUAAAGAACCACGCCUGAGCGUUUUGCAGCACGGUUGUGAGAUCAUGCGUAGGCACCUGAGCGACAGAUGACGGAUGUCUGGAAACAUCUUGUACAUAGAAAAGUUGCAUCUUUACCCGCUCAGGUAAAUGACGGUACACCAUAUCCUUCCCGCACAUCAGCCAUCCCGAGUAAGUGACAAUAAGCUGAAAUGGAUGCACGACUCUGUGAUCACCAUAAGUAGAAAAUCUGACGUCAUCCACCUAUAAGCGAUCAAGCAGUAAGCGAUAAUGGUACACAUCAGUAUAUCAUCUGCUAGUAAGCCAUCUCCCAGCGUAUGGUCUCUCUGGCGUCCACUCCUUGUUUUUCUUCCUUGGGUACGGACCUAACAAAUGCUCCAAAAUCUAUCAGUGCAACAAAUAAAUAAAAUACAUUAUAAAUAUUAAAAUUAAUUAAGAAAUGCAGUCUAACUUAGGAAAAAAUAAUCUAACAUGAUAAUAAAAAUUAUAAAAUAAAUUCAUAAAUAAAUGAAGAUAAAUAUUAAAUUAUUACCAUAAAAAGAGUUGUACUCCCAGCCAUCGUUCUGUUAUUCAGAAUAACAGAAUCAUCCACAUAGUCGAACAGGUACGCUAAGGCCAUCCCUCCCCAUGACCACUUCCCAAUCGCCUGCAAGUCUGCCAUACAAUCAAGAUAUAUCAAGUCGAUGUGUCUGUUCGUUUUGUUAGUGAACAUCGCACAACCGACGAGAUAUAGAAGAAAACUCCUCACACACCACUGUCUCCUCCUGGCUCUCUCCUGCAGCUCCUCCCUCGUCUGUGGGUCGUCCAGCCGUCUAGCCUCUGUCAGGUGGUCUUCAUAAACCCGCUUCAGUGUGGGAUAACUGAUAUGACCAGCAGACUCAGUCCUAAUCUCAGAUCUAGCAUCAACAUCUGACAUGCCCAACAACCUGGUCAUCAAAUCAAUCACACGCUCCUGACUCAUUGCCUCAUCGUGGUCCAGCAUGCGGCUGUGAAUAGGAAUGUGUAGGAGAUUAUGCACAUCGUCCAAAGUGAUCGUCAUCUCCCACACAGGUAAAUGAAAACUAUUGGUCUCCGUGUGCCACCUCUCGCACAUAGCACGUAUCAUGGCAUGGGUCACGGUAGAAUACCCCGUGUAUAUCAAAUCAUGUAGGCCAUACCCCUCCACAGGCUCCCAAAACCACCUCAAACCCGCCUCCGGCUUACCAAGCUCUUUCAUCUUUUUCCCUGCAUUUAUACACUUGUAGCCCGUCUGAUCAUGCCACAUUUGAAAUUCAAAUUAAUUAAGACAUCGUCACUAAUUUAUAUAAUUAAAACACUUACGCUACAUUCUUUUAAAUAAUUAAAACACUUACGCUACAUAAUAUUAUAUAAUUAAAACACUUACGCUACAUAAUAUUAUAUAAUUAAAACACUAACGCUACAUUCUUUUAAAUAACUAAAACACUUACGCUACAUAAUAUUAUAUAAUUAAAACACUUACGCUGAGUCUGAGGCUCAGGUUCACCCUCAGGAAUAACAUUCUCUGCCUCCAUAUAAUCCGCCACAAAAUCCUCUGGCACCUCCGCAUCACCUGCCACCUCCUCAUCCUCUACCUCGUCCUCCGGCUGAUAAAACAUUAUAUCCUCCUCCAUCCGAUCAUAUCCUUGAAAUCCCUCCGAAUACUCAUACGUCUAUAUCGGAUCAACCACCUGGGAGGAGUAAUCCAUAUGUGGCUGUGAGCUCUCUACACCUGGCCUUGCGUCCCUCCGCUUCCGAGUCUUCGGGACAUACGGAUUUUGGUCCACCUUUUCCUUCUGAGCGCUAGCGGUACUCGCCGCUUUGCCUUUGCGCAUCCUAUCCUCUCUAAUAACCCGCUGCCGCUCAUCCUCGUCCCUAGCCAUAUCUGUUCAAAACAAAUUUAAAAAAACACAAAUAAGUGGACAAUGUAUUUAAGAAUACAAUGUAUUUAAGCAUUUCCUUAAAAACUAUAUACUUUUAAGGCAUUUAGCAUAGCAUAAAAAUCCAACCAAGUAACAUGUAACAUAUAAAAAAUGAAACUUAAGCAUUCAUACAAAUCCACACUCCUUCAAAAAAAAAAAAUACAAAUUCACACUUAGAAUCCAAGCUUAUAAUAUACCACAUUUAUAUAACAUACCACAUUAUGUCAUUCUUCAAACUUGCCAAAAAAUUUAAAAAUCCAAGCUUAUAAUAAUUAUAACAUAUAUACUUUAUAAAAUUGAAGAUAUUUGAAAAUAAUUACACAAAAAAAGUAAGAUUUUCUCACUUAUGCAUUUUAUCAAACACCUUAUGAGCAUUCUAAAUUAGGAGCAUAAUUAGUGUUAUUUGAACAUCUAAAGGGCUACAUUGUACCUACAUUGUCUCUAAACAACAAUUACAACAUAAACAAUCCAUCAAAGCAUCUAAAUCAUGCUUAAUUUUCAAUUUUCUAACCUAACUUAAAACUAUCUAAAACUAACAUUUUGCUCAAAUUUAUGAAAACUAACACCCUAAACAAACUACAUUGCAUUUAAAUAGGAAGGAAAUAACUUACUUGUGAAUUAAUUGAUGAAAUUUAGCGCAAAUUCGUGAAAUACAAGUUUGGAGAAAUUUGGAAGUUGAAAUUUUAGUGUUUGUGUUUCUGCAAAAUGGAAAAAUGAGGGUUCUGUUCUCGUUUAUUCACAGAACGUAACGGUUGUUAACAACCGCUGACCCCAGCGGCAGUCAACUGCCGGCGGUUUAAAUAACGGUAGUUAACUACAUCGGAUGUAUUUAUGUAUUUUACUUAUGUCAAUAUGAACUUUCCUUUAGUCAGAAAAACAAUUUUCUUUCCUCUUUCAAACUGUGAGUAUAGUUACCAGGCGGGUACUACAAUUUUUCAAACCGAGUAUAGCUACAAUUUCUGCUGCCUGCUACGGUCUCAUAUACUCAGAUGGAAGAAUCACCGUUAAACACGUCACUAUUAUGAGCAUUGUUGAUGCACCAAAUUUCAUUGACCCCGUUUAAUUCAAAAUACUUGCUACAACAAUGGGAUUAUGUAGUAACCAAAAAAAAAAAAAAACGGGAUUAUGUAUGUUGUGUAUUAUUAGGUACGUUAUUAUUAGUGACCCUUGUGGAGAGCUAUUUUGAACCAGAAAGAUACAUCCAGUAUUUAGAGUUAAAUGGUUACAGGAGAACAAUUGUUCUAAAUACAACACACGCAACUACUAAGAACCCGGAAAUAGACAUAGCAGCAAGAUUAUUUCAUUUGUAGAUAAGCUCAGAACUUCUUGAUGAAUUCAUAAAUGUGAUUACUUAUUUCCUCUGCUGCUUCUUGAUUGUUGAAGUGCGCCACUCCUUUUUGGAUAAUCACUUCUUCCAGAUUGGGAACAUCUUCCUUGAAUCCCCCACCAUGGAUAUACUCCUUCAUGUUUAGUGAGGUGUACACCAUAUCCAAAUCACCUGUAAUGAAUUUCACAGGCACCUUGAUUUUCACCCCAUUCCAUGGUGCCAUUAGCUCCCAAUUUCUGCAAUACAAGUAAUAAUGCAUCUUUCAUUAGAAUUGGGAUCUCUGUUUAUGAAACACUAACACAUACAUCGAAAACAACACUAAACAAAAACAUUGGACACGACAUUGACAAGUAGAUACCAAUAACAGUUUUAAAAUAGGAAGUGAUUGAAUAUAACAUGUGUCGGUGUCGGAUAUCAACACGUAUCGAACACUGGGCACGUCUUCAAACUGAAAUGUUAAUGCUGCAUAGAUUAUUGUCAUGUUGUUCAAACAUUUUACCAAAAAGAAUUGUCAACAUAUAUUUGUGGAAAACAACCAAAGGUAGCACAAAGAAUCAAAGGAUUACACGUUAAAGUUUCUAUAGUAGUUCAAUGCUCCAGUGAAGCCUGUUUUCUCAAAUUUGGAGACAAAAUAAGCAAGGUCUUCUUCUGUAAGCCAAGAGGGUAAGGUGUCAGGAGUAUCCGGGUUGAAUCCAGUUCCAUACUCUCCCUUGGGAAAUAUUGGGGGACCAGUUUGGCGAGUUGUGAGGAUAUUUUUCAUCACAUAUGCAGUGCCAACUUCAGCCAUCUCAGCUUCCAUUUUGCCUGGUUCCUGUGAUACGGACCAAAAGCAAUUAUGUUAUUCAGAUCUAUACAGCAACUUUCCACUUCAUUUUACAUAAAGUCAUAAACAAAGAAUUCUGUUUCAAAAUAUUAUAUUGUAGCUUCACGAUACGAUUCAAUCUGAGUAGGGUCAUACUUUAGGAAUGAUAUGUAGCUAAAAGAAAGGAAAACAGAUUAAUUUCUUCAUUCAUGACCAUUAUGAUGUCAUACUAUUCUAAAGUUGAUGCAGACCCAAAAUAAGAGAACUUCACCCUAACAUAUUCAAUAAUCAAAAUUACUCCCUAACAAAAUGCACAACAUGUCAAUCUAUAUUAAACUGAGUCAUGCUUGCUUCUAGAAUUAACUGAUCAACCCAUAAGGUUUCCUCUUUUGAUUUAGACUCCUUAAAUAAACAAGUCAAUCAAGUGUUAAACCCACUUGGGUUGGCCUGGUGGUGUCGUCUUGGGACCGGAGUGUGUUCCUCUCAAACUGAGAGAUUCGAUAUUCUUGUGUCAAUUUCGGUGGGCUAGUUCGAGUUCUUAAAAAAUACCUUAAUCAAGUGCUUAUAGCAAAAGAUAAAAUAAAGUCAAACUGUUUUUAUAUAAGUUUGGUAUUUUCAGAUGCCAUUUGAAGAGCUUAUGAAAAUAAGAAUCUCAAAAGAACCUCCUAAAUUCUAUUAAACAAUCUCACAAACCGUAAAUCCUCUCAAUUAAAUCUAUCCCAACAGGCGUUUAGUAAUCCACUGAUCCUACAUCAGUAUCAUGUCAAUAGCCCACAUCAAACACCACUCAAACAAAAGUAUUAUUCUCUAGUCUCUCCUACAUCUAUAUAUAUAAAAUAAAAUAAAAAAGUGAUCUUUAAUGUUUUAUAAUUAGUAACUCUUGACAUUUUUACAAACUCGACUCAUAAAAUAUUAUGGAUUGCUUAAAGUAAAUUAGGGGAUACAGAGAGAAAGGUAGAAAAGUGGUAGUAAAGAAAUAGAAGAACCUGAAAUCUAGAGAUAUAAUAAUCAUCUCCAUAAGCAGCACGCAUGGCAUCAACGGUCUUGAUUUUGGGGUUUCUACGGAGUAGUGGAACACUGAGACAGACAUAAGCUUUGAUUCUUUCAGGGCGAAACAUACAAAGAUACCAACCAAUGAUAGCACCCCAAUCAUGAGCCACAAGAAACACUUGGUCAACACCAAGCAAAUCUAUAAGUGCAACAAGGUCACCUACAAUGUGAAAACCAGUGUAGCUGCUUAUUGAAGAUGGAGCCUCGGUGUCACCAUAGCCACGCAGAUCUGGAGCAACGGCGCGGUAACCGAGGGAGCCAAGAGCUACAAUUUGGUGGCGCCAUGAAUACCAGAGUUCUGGGAAGCCAUGAAGGAACAAGACAACAGGUCCUUCUUUUCCUUUUUCAGCAAUAUGCAUUUUGAUUCCAUUCACCUCCACUGUUCUGUGUUCUAUUCCUUCCAUCUCUGUUUUUUUCUUCAGAGCAACUAUGAAGAAAUUUUCAAUAUUUUGAUGCGGUUGAUGAUACUUUAUAACGGACAAAUGAACCGACAUAAAC
rnacentral:lncRNA from 1 species